rnacentral:rRNA from 1 species
UUAGAACGUCGUGAGACAGUUCGGUCCCUAUCUGCCGUGGGCGCUGGAGAAUUGAGGGGGGCUGCUCCUAGUACGAGAGGACCGGAGUGGACGCAUCACUGGUGUUCGGGUUGUCAUGCCAAUGGCAUUGCCCGGUAGCUAAAUGCGGAAGAGAUAAGUGCUGAAAGCAUCUAAGCACGAAACUUGCCCCGAGAUGAGUUCUCCCUGAGACUUUAAGUCUCCUGAAGGAACGUUAAAGACGAUGACGUUGAUAGGCCGGGUGUGUAAGCGCAGCGAUGCGUUGAGCUAACCGGUACUAAUGAACCGUGAGGCUUAACCUU